rnacentral:rRNA from 1 species
AGUCACUGACAUUAGAUACCCCGGUAGUCCAGGGUGUAAACGCUGCAGACUUGGUGUUGGGAACCCUUCGGGGGUGCUCAGUGCCGGAGAGAAGUUGUUAAGUCUGCUACUUGGGGAGUACGUCCGCAAGGAUGAAACUUAAAGGAAUUGGCGGGGAGCACCGCAACGGGAGGAGCGUGCGGUUUAAUUGGAUUCAACGCCGAAAAACUCACCAGCAGCGACUGUUACAUGAAAGUCAGGUUGAUGACCUUACUAGAUUUUCAG